rnacentral:rRNA from 1 species
GACGAACGCUGGCGGCGUGCCUAAUACAUGCAAGUCGAGCGCAGGAAACUGACGGAACUCUUCGGAGGGAAGGCAGUGGAAUGAGCGGCGGACGGGUGAGUAACACGUAAGGAACCUGCCUCAAGGAUUGGGAUAACUCCGAGAAAUCGGAGCUAAUACCGGAUAGUUCAUCGGACCGCAUGGUCCGCUGAUGAAAGGCGCUCCGGCGUCACCUUGAGAUGGCCUUGCAGUGCAUUAGCUAGUUGGUGGGGUAACGGCCCACCAAGGCGACGAUGCAGAGCCGAGCUGAGAGGGUGAUCGGCCACAAUGGGACUGAGACACGGCCCAAACUCCUACGGGAGGCAGCAGUAGGGAAUCUGCCACAAUGGACGAAAGUCGGAUGGAGCAACGCCGCGUGAGUGAUGAAGGUUUGCGGAUCGUAAAACUCUGUUGUAAGGGAAGAACACGUACGAGAGGAAAUGCUCGUACCUUGACGGUACCUUACGAGAAAGCCACGGCUAACUACGUGCCAGCAGCCGCCGUAACAC